rfam:Thermoplasmatales archaeon SCGC AB-540-F20 MBGDF03_Contig47.47, whole genome shotgun sequence.
GGAUCUGUAGUGUAGCUUGGAUAUCACAGGGGCUUCCGGAGCCUCUGACUCGGGUUCGAAUCCCGGCAGAUCCG